GCGCGAAAACUUUACAAUGCACGAAAGUGUGAUAGGGGUAUCCCAAGUGCUCAUGUACUGCAUGAGCUUUUGCCAUGAGUAAAUAUCUUGGCGAAUAAGUGGUGGGAAAGACUGGUGCCAGCAGCCGCGGUAACCCCAGCGCCACAAGUGGCAAUCACAAUUACUGGGCCUAAAGCGUCCGUAGUCGGCCUGAUAAAUCUCUUGUGAAAUCAUAGAGCUUAACUUUAUGACGUGCAGGAGACACUGUCAGGCUCGGGACCGGGAGGAGUCAGAGGUAUUCCGUGGGGAGCGGUAAAAUGCUAUAAUCCUCGGAGGACCACCUGUGGCGAAGGCGUCUGACUAGAACGGAUUCGACGAUGAGGGACGAAGGCUGGGGGAGCAAAACGG
rnacentral:rRNA from 1 species